CCCAGCCUGGGUACUGGGAGGGUAUAUGUUUUCCCCUAUGGUUAAAUGAGCCUGCUGUAAACCUCCACUUGACUCCUGGGUCUGUCGUUGCUUUGCGCUUUUUCACCCCUUUCUCCGAGAAAGUUAGGACCCAACAAUGCAUGAUGACAGCAGGCACACAGGAAACAAGAGCCCGAAUGAGAACAAACGGUGAGCAAAACAAAUCAGGAUGGAGAAACAACUGAUGAGCACAGCAGUGGCAUCCAACCCCAAGACUGCGGAGUCUGGAGUGUGCGGCUCACAGUCCUGCUUCCCUGACUGGCACUGCUCACACUGCUCUGACCUGUGUUCUGCUUUGUAAGAGAAGACUUGGCCACCAGUAAAGACAGGCUGGAAUACA